rnacentral:rRNA from 1 species
AGUGAACGCUGGCGGUAGGCCUAACACAUGCAAGUCGAACGGCAGCACAGUAAGAGCUUGCUCUUACGGGUGGCGAGUGGCGGACGGGUGAGGAAUACAUCGGCAUCUACUUUUUCGUGGGGGAUAACGUAGGGAAACUUACGCUAAUACCGCAUACGACCUACGGGUGAAAGCAGGGGAUCUUCGCACCUUGCGCGAUUGAAUGAGCCGAUGUCGGAUUAGCUAGUUGGCGGGGUAACGGCUCACCAAGGCGACGAUCCGUAGCUGGUCUGAGAGGAUGAUCGGCCACACUGGAACUGAGACACGGUCCAGACUCCUACGGGAGGCAGCAGUGGGGAAUAUUGGGCAAUGGGCGCAAGCCUGAUCCAGCCACACCGCGUGGGUGAAGAAGGCCUUCGGGUUGUAAAGCCCUUUUGUUGGGAAAGAAAAGCAGCAGGUUAAUCCACGGCUGUUCUGACGGUACCCAAAGAAUAAGCACCGGCUAACUUCGUG